GACGAACGCUGGCGGCGUGCUUAACACAUGCAAGUCGAACGGAAAGGCCCUGCCUUUGUGGGGUGCUCUAGUGGCGAACGGGUGAGUAACACGUGAGUAACCUGCCCUUGACUGUGGGAUAACUUAAGGCAGCUGGGUCUAAUAGCGGAUAAGAGCUCCUGCUGCAUGGUGGGGGUGGGAAAGUUUCGGCGGUUGGGGAGGGACUCGCGGCUUAUCAGCUUGUUGGUGGGGUAGUGGCUUACCAAGGCUAUGACGGGUAGCCGGGCUGAGAGGGGCAGCGGCCACAUUGGGACUGGGAUACGGCCCAGACCCCAACCGGAGGGAGCAGAGGGGUAUAGUGUACUAUGGGCGGGAGCCUGAUGCAGCAACGCCGCGUGGCGGAAGAGAGGCUUCGGGUUGGGAACCGCUUUUCCCUGUGCCGGAGUGUGAGUGACGGUAACGGGUAAAUAAGCACCGGCUAACUACGUG
rnacentral:rRNA from 1 species